rnacentral:rRNA from 1 species
AAAACCCAACUACACCUCUAAUUUUAUAACUUUACAACCGCCAGAGACCUGUAUAAUUGGUUUUAGGUUGGGGCGACCACGGAGUAAAACAAAACCUCCACAAUGAACGAGACUACCCUCUUAUCUAAGAGCUACAACUCUAAGAAUUAAAAUAUUAACAUAUAAUGAUCCAUUUUUUGAUCAAUGAACCAAGUUACCCUGGGGAUAACAGCGCAAUCCAUUUCAAGAGCCCUUAUCGACAAAUGGGUUUA